rnacentral:rRNA from 1 species
AUUGAACGCUGACGGCAUGCCUUACACAUGCAAGUCGAACGGUAACGCGGGGCAACCUGGCGACGAGUGGCGAACGGGUGAGUAAUGCAUCGGAACGUGCCCGGUAGUGGGGGAUAACUGCUCGAAAGAGCAGCCAAUACCGCAUACGACCUGAGGGUGAAAGGGGGGGAUCGCAAGACCUCUCGCUAUCGGAGCGGCCGAUGUCGGAUUAGCUAGUUGGUGGGGUAAAAGCCCACCAAGGCAACGAUCCGUAGCUGGUCUGAGAGGACGACCAGCCACACUGGGACUGAGACACGGCCCAGACUCCUACGGGAGGCAGCAGUGGGGAAUUUUGGACAAUGGACGCAAGUCUGAUCCAGCCAUGCCGCGUGCGGGAAGAAGGCCUUCGGGUUGUAAACCGCUUUUGUCAGGGAAGAAAUCUUCUGAGUUAAUACCUCGGGAGGAUGACGGUACCUGAAGAAUAAGCACCGGCUAACUACGUGCCAGCCGCCGCAGUAAUAC